CCACCACUAAGCCAGUGGUGAACUCCACAUCCGCAUCCUUUGCUGAGGAUACGGUUAACGGAGCGAAAGCGACGUUCAACCGCAAAACAAGCAGAGGGGGCUUAGUGGUGGGGUGACUGCGUACCUUUUGUAUAAUGGGUCAGCGACUUAUAUUCUGUAGCAAGGUUAACCGAAUAGGGGAGCCGGAGGGAAACCGAGUCUUAAUUGGGCGUUAAGUUGCAGGGUAUAGACCCGAAACCCGGUGAUCUAGCCAUGGGCAGGUUGAAGGUUGGGUAACACUAACUGGAGGACCGAACCGACUAAUGUUGAAAAAUUAGCGGAUGACCUGUGGCUGGGGGUGAAAGGCCAAUCAAACCGGGAGAUAGCUGGUUCUCCCCGAAAGCUAUUUAGGUAGCGCCUCGUGAAUUCAUCUCCGGGGGUAGAGCACUGUUUCGGCUAGGGGGCCAUCCCGGCUUACCAACCCGAUGCAAACUGCGAAUACCGGAGAAUGUUAUCACGGGAGACACACGGCGGGUGCUAACGUCCGUCGUGAAGAGGGAAACAACCCAGACCGCCAGCUAAGGUCCCAAAGUCAUGGUUAAGUGGGAAACGAUGUGGGAAGGCCCAGACAGCCAGGAUGUUGGCUUAGAAGCAGCCAUCAUUUAAAGAAAGCGUAAUAGCUCACUGGUCGAGUCGGCCUGCGCGGAAGAUGUAACGGGGCUAAACCAU
rnacentral:rRNA from 1 species